CGAUUCCUCUGUUGAAACAGCAAAACGACGAAUCGUAUUUGCCACCGCUGGAUUCCGUUUGAAUUUACCGGACGACGAUGGUUUUGCACAACAACGGACCGUCGUUGGAAAACCGGCCGCGAAAAAACAAGCUCCAUUUACAGCCAUGAGAACACCCCAGGUCGGUUUUAAUAAUGACAAGCCGGCUCAGAUGUUUAACGUUUUACCUCUUUAGAAUUUAUGAUUAAGAGAAUCAUCUAUUGUUAAAGGCACAGGACAGGCCGUCACAAGGGUCCUCUGCGAUGACAAUACCAAGAUAGGUCUCAACCACAUGCUGCCUGAUCUGAUGUGAGGUAGGAUUGUUAUUUAUUAGUAAUUAAAGUUUUGAUUUUUGAUUUUAUUUUUUUAUAUCUUUAUAAAAAAAUAUAAAAAAACUAACAAAAAAAGCAACAAUAAAAAUAGAUAGAGGUUUCCAAAAAGAGGAUUGAAUUAUAAUUUUUUUUUAAGAGAGAGAUAUCAUAGCCUUUAUUGCAUUUCAAAAGCUUUUGGAAAAAAAUAAUUUUUUUUUGUUUUAUAUAAUUUUUUUUUGUUUUUAAAUAAUUUUAAUGUAGUUAUGAUAAAAAUAAAUUUUUAAUAUAUGUAUAUAUUAUUUGAAUGUAUUUUAAAAAAAUAUAUAUUUUAUAAAGUAAUUAUUACCAUAAUAUAAAACGGACUCUGAUAUUAAUAGAGUUAUAACAUUAAAGCUAAGAAUCUUGUUUAUGCGGUUUUAAAUUGAUGAUUUUGUAUAAAAAAAAUUUACAAUCUUAAUGUAUUAGUAUUAAAAUAGUUAAAAAACACUAAAUAUUUUAUAAAAUAAUUAUUACCAUAAUAUAAAACAGACUCUAAUAUUAAUAGAGUUAUAACAUUAGAGCUUAGAAUCUUGUUUAUAUUGUUUAAAAUUGAUGAUUUUGUAUAAUUUUUUUUUAUGAUAUUAAUGUAUUAAUAUUAAAUUGGUUAAAAAACACUAAUUUUAUUAUAAAAAAAUGAAAGGAAAAGGAAAAAAAGGAAACAUCAAUCUAAAAAUACUUAUGGAAAAACACCUACAAUUUAUUAUCAAUUAAGUGUUAGAACUAUCUAAAAUAGAGAGUUACAUACAAGAAGUCGAAAUCGAGAGCAUUUAUUAACUUGUGUCGUAUGUGGAGACAUAGCAGAUGGGAUACAACCAAAUUAUGGUGUCGAGCUCUCAUAAUGUCCAGCUUGAUGUGAUUUAUGCUUAUUAUUUAUUUACUUAUUAAUCAAACGAAGGAAAGCUCAGCCUGACGAACAAGUAAGCUCACAUUGAAAAGACAAAGUUCUUCCAGAUGGUUGAUAGAAGGUUCCAUGCUUCGCCCUCUUAUUUUUGGUUUAUUAUAUAGUUUUGCUGAAGGACAAUAACUAGUGUGUUGAAGAAAGAUGUUAAUCACAUCGCUUUUAUUUAAUUUAUGCUGCUCAUUAUAUAAUAUUUCAAAAAGGGUCAUCCCUGCUAUUGAAUAUAGAAAUUGUUAGUGAUAUAAAAUUGAAAAUGUUGAAGAUA